rnacentral:rRNA from 1 species
UACGUAGGGUGCAAGCGUUGUCCGGAAUUAUUGGGCGUAAAGGGCUCGUAGGCGGUUUGUCGCGUCGGGAGUGAAAACUCUGGGCUUAACCCUGAGCCUGCUUCCGAUACGGGCAGACUAGAGGUAUGCAGGGGAGAAUGGAAUUCCUGGUGUAGCGGUGAAAUGCGCAGAUAUCAGGAGGAACACCGGUGGCGAAGGCGGUUCUCUGGGCAUUACCUGACGCUGAGGAGCGAAAGUGUGGGGAGCGAACAGG